rnacentral:sRNA from 1 species
AUGAACGUUUUGACAACCGUAACCAAUGGAGGUGCAAUUCUAAGAGUCAGUGGAACCUUUGGGACAAAUAAAUUUGUCUCAAUAAACAGUUUUGGUGGUAACACAUGUCUUCAUUUGAGGACUCCCAAGAAAAACGGAUCGGGGUGGAAAAGCUUUACUAUGACCGUUAGUGAGUAUAAAGAAAUGGUGAGGAUGGUUGAUCCAGACCGUCUUACCGAUAUUGCAGAGAGGUUCAAUGUUAAGGUAAGGUUUUUUUUAUUUCUUCAUGAUAAUUUUGGAGGAAAUGGUUAAUUGUUGGGAUGUACAGAUACCAGAUCACGUCCACUAGUUUUUAUAGCAUUUUAUUUUCAUCCAUCUGAUGAAUUACCUUUUUUAACUGAUUUUUACUGUUAUAUUACUGUCUCAGGUGAGGGGAUGGUUGAUAUCCCGCCACAUUAGGUAUGUGUGUACCUGUUCCAAGUCAGGAGCCUGUAAUUCAGUACUGGUUUUCAUUUGUUUAUGUUUUACAUAUUGUAUUAUUCAUUCAUUUUUUUUUUUUGGUUAUUAAAUUAGACCGUUGACUUUCUUGUUUUGAAUUAAUUGUAUGUUGACAUUUUGAAACCUUUUAUAGCUGACUGUGCGACAGGAGCUUUGCUCAUUGUUGAAGGCUAUGGUGACCUAUAGUUGCUGUAAGUUUCUGUAUCAUGUUGUCUCAUUGGCAUCAUACCACAUCUUCUUUUUUUAUAUCCAUGUAGAUUUCAUGCAUUUCUCUCCAAAACUGUACUCUCUCCUCUCAAAAACAUUUCAUAUACCAUAUUUUUUUCAAGUAUGAUGUACAACAAUUGUCGCUAUAAGAUUAAAUCAUUUGAUAUUAUAUAUUGUAGAACAGGACGGAACGCGCGUUGGAGGAGGCAGCACUAAGAGCAGAUGAGAGUAGGGAGGACGAAGCUGGACCAUCAACAGAGGCAACAGUGGAGACACCCGAGCCUGCCCAAAUGCCUCCGAUGAAGACAUGUUUAAAAAGUAUUGGCCGUAUCAUAUGUUUGGAGCCGACAUCACUUUUAACUCGAGACAUACUAGUGAGCUUACCUUCUGUUCUUCUGGAUGAAAUAGAUCAAUCACUAGAUGUAGAUUUAACAAAUAAAGCCAUUGCUGGUGUAUUCAUGUUACAGGAAGUAAUCUCGCAAAGAACUUUUGAAAUACCAAAUACAUCUUUGUAUCAGAGUUGUUAUAGUUUUUUUUGUAUAAAGGGAAAAGUGGAUUUUCAACAGAUGAUGACAUUUUAUCUAUAGUGGGAAAGAUGAAAUCUAAUAAUCUGAAUGACAUCACAAACAUUUUCAACGUGAACAUUGGAGAUUCAUAAUUUUAAACAAAAAGUUACUAUCUUGUUUCAUUUUUUUUCUUAGACUAGAUUGUUUUAUUACUUUUGAUUUUUUACCCUGCAUACCAAUAUUGCCCAUGUGAAAUUUAUAAUUGUCUUGUAUAAUCAUGGAACGACAAAAUUUCUUACUAUGUGACGUAUACAUUUUCUGACAUCAGACACGCGAAGCAGUGAAUGUGUUUUAAUUUGAAAUAUGCUUUUUUUGUUCUUCUGUUAAAUUGUUUCUUUUAAAAUUGUAACACGGUGAUGGCUGCUGUACCCGUAUUAUAAAGGUAAAUGCAGAAAAGCGCGUCCGACGCAAGAAAUAAUCAUAUGUGUUGUUUUCAAUAUUUUUGACUAUUUUAUUUAUUAUAUAUGUUUAGUUCACGCAUCGUUGUAAAUAUAACAGAAUUUAACGAGUCUGUCGUACAAAGUGCGCAGUUAAGCGCUAUAAAACCAGGUUUAAUCCACCAUUUUCUACAUUUGAAAAUGCCUGUACUAAGUCAGAAAUAUGACAGUUGUUGUCCAUUCGUUUUUGGUGUGUUUUGUCAUUUGAUUUUGCCAUGUGAUUAGGGACUCGCCGAUUUGAUUUUCCUCUGAGUUCAGUAUUUAUGUGAUUUUACUUUUUGCAUUGUUUAAAGGAGAUAAAAUUUAUUUAACUUAGUUUAAAAUGUACGUAGUCACAUUCAACGUGAGGACUUUAAUUUCAUAAAUAUUAUACUGUCCGACCCGACAGUUGUAGAAAAUUUCCAACGGGGUUAACAUCAAUCGUACCAUUUCUUCCGGGUUGAUAAGGUGCCAAUAUGCGAGACUCUUGAAUAUCAUACAUAUUAAUUUUGAAUACAAUUACAGUCGUAAAGUAUUUAUACAUCUUGGGACUUUAUAAAGAUUGAUUGAUUGUUGGUUGCUUAACGUCCAGUGGCAAAUAUUUCAUGCAUAUUCAGAACCAGAACAAGUUCACAAUAAAUACAAUAGGUAGGUCUUGUCACAAUAGAGGCCAUCUGGGAUGAUGGUUGGGGAAAUUUGGACUGCCACUGUAAAAUGAGGGUAUUUCGGAUAGGGACAUACAUUUUGCCUUGCAACAGGCCACCUACGGACCCCUUAAAGAGUUGUUGCAAGGGUUCUUAACGUGCAAAGAGCGUGGCACUCUUUACACGAGGCAUCGGAUUUAACGUCCCCAAUCUGACCGGACGCGACUGCGAAUUUGAUACAUCCCGCACAGCCAAACGGACGCCCCACUUCGGCAAGCGUUUUACUGCCGUUCGGAAGAAGACCAAGUGACCAUAUUUCUAUUCCCCAGUCACCCCUGGGGGACUUUAUACAAAUAAUUUUAAAUAAAAUUUCAUUUGUAAAGUAUUUAUUUAUCUCGAACAUUUUCAUAGAUUAAAAAUGUUGUUCGUUUGUUGAUUAUAUGUAGGUGAUGAUCGUUUACAAAUUGAUUGGUUGUUCGGUAUUGUGUCCAAAGUCAAAGACAUAAUGUUUGUUCAGGAAAGAACACAUAUCUAGGAGAUUUGAAUUUCAUUUCACGGGGAUUCGUUAUAAAUGAAGACAUUAUAUUUCAAGAAAAGUAACACAAUGCUUAGUAAUACCUUAUAUAGAUAGCAGGGUUUUAACUUUAAGAGCAGGGUUUCAACUUUAAGAACAUUAACUUGGAUCAUGUCGAUUUAAAAAAUAAAUCAAUAACGCAUAUCACUUCAUUCUUGUCUUCACUGAUUGAUUGAUGUGUGCUUUACGCCGCAUUAGCACAAAAAGGUUAUAUAGCGGCAAAUUGCCCUCACUGUUUCAAUAAACAUGAUGAACAUAUAUUAAUCAGAAAAAAAAAAUUAAUGAUAUUGUUCAUUAGAGGUAAAUAACAAGUUUCAAGUUCUUAUUAAAUCAGGAAAAUCAAUACAAAUUACAAUGCUGUUUUCCCCUACAUUUACAUGAUAUUACAUUACAUAAAUAAAUAUAUACAUGUUCCUGAUGACGGACGCAAUAAAUUAUUAAACGAGUUGUUUUUAAUUAUUUACACCUCUGGGUCGAUACCCCGAGGGUGUCAUGAGCAAGUAGUCAGUAUUUCGGUACCGACAUGAUUUAACAAACUUAACUAAAAUCGUCCGUUUAUGAGUAGAAAUUAUUAAGAAACUAAGGUUUCAACUCCCUAUGCAAAGUUUGAUUUAGAUAAAAUUUGUCUAUUUAUUUUAGGUAUUUUAAACAUAAUUAUGGCUCUUCAACGGUUUCGGUACUUAUACAUCUAUUGUCUGUUUAAUUAGAGUUCGAGAUAAAUGUGUGCCAGGAUCUGUUUCCAUCGGUGUAUAAUUAUAAUGAUUGAUAUAAUUUACAUAUUUCACUAAGCUAUCUGUCAGAUGAAAGCUUUUAAGUCGAUCAAUUAAUUUAAGGGCUAGGAUAAGUAUAUGAUUCGUAGUAGGUUGUCUCCCUAAUUCACACCUCACGGCUCUCUUAUGAACACCUAACAUAUUUAUACAGAAUUUAUCAUGAUCUUUUUUAAAAGGUAAUUUAUCAAUAUUUUGAAUAACUAAUCGGUAUAUCAGAUCCAUAAGGACUUAUUGGUUUUAUAAGAGUAUCAAAUAGUUUUAAUUCUAGUGUAUGGUCUAUAUUGUUUAACCUCAAUGUAAUAGAAUGCACAGAAAAACGUGCUUUAAACUGUAUUUGUAAAAAAAUUUCUACAGCAUGAUAAAAAUGUCCAUUAAAUUAAAUAACAAUCCCAAAAUAAUUAUAUUUCUCAACCAUUUCAUUUUCUUUGACGUCGUAAAAAAACACUUAAAUUUCACUUUCAGCUUCCGGCUACAUGUAUCAGAGUAUGAAUUUAGAGAAUUUAAACAGGAUUGAAGACCUUCUUUGCUAUCGGAUAGUCGAUGUAAAUUAUCACCUUAUAAUAUCAACUCAUUCUAGUAUCUCAGUUGGGUGCCAUCCCAUUAGCCCGACACCUAAAAUUCCGAGAGCCCAUUACUCCGACAGCCCACUAUUCCGACAAUGCAUCGGUCUUGUGUGUAUGGGUAAAUUUUCUCUUAAAAGACCAACUCGGAUGCAGGUAAAUUUUCGGAUGCAGGUAAAUUUUCACCAACAGAUUUAUAUCAUAAUAAUUAAUAUCACUGAUUUUAUAUCCUAUAAUGAGAUUUCUGUAGUUUAGGAUAUGAUGACCUAUUUUAACUUUAUUUAAUAGUAUUUUGAUCUUUUCCCAAAAAGUUUAAAGUAAUGGCAUUCUAGAAAAAAAUGUUUAUAAUCUUCUGUUACAUUACAUAAGUCACAUUUACUGUCUUCUUUUAUCUUCCAUUGAAAAAGCAGUUGUUUACAAGGAAGGAUAUGAUGCAGCAAUUUCCAUUUAAACAAUUUUUAAUCUGUUAUCUUUAAAUAAUAAAUACAAAGUUUAGCAUUGAAAUUGGAUUAAAGAAUCUAAAUUNAACAGAGAAGUUCAUAUCUUUUGUGAUGCUUCAAAAGAGGCAAUAGGUGCAGUGGCUUAUUUGAGAUUAAUUGACUCACACCAUGUAACAGUUAGUUUUUUAUUGGGAAAAGCGAAGGUUGCGCCUUCACAUGGGAAUACUAUUCCUCGAUUAGAACUGUGCGCUUCUGUUCUUGCCGCAGAAUUAUCAGAUCUUGUCAAAGAGCAUUUAGGUAUAGAUCAAAGUGAAAUGUACUUUUACUCAGACAGCAAAAUAGUGUUAGGUUACUUGACAAAUGAGUCAAAGAGGUUUCAUGUAUACGUUGGAAACCGAGUGCGACGAAUACGAGUCUCUUGUGAUCCAAAACGAUGGAGUCAUGUUUCAACUGAAAAUAAUCCAGCAGAUAUUGCAACACGAGGAAUAAACCCUGCAGAGUUAUCAAAUAGUUUAUGUAUGGAUAAAAGGAGCAGCAUUUCUUUAUAACAUAUCCCUUGGAAAUUUAGAUAACGGUCCACAUCAGUUGGUUGAUGCUGAUAGUGACAAGGAGAUUCGCCCAGAGGUGCAAGUAGCUAAAACACAAACUGUAGAUCAAAAUAAUGUACAUAGAUUAGGGACACAUAGAUUCUCAAAGUUUUCAGAAUGGAGAACUUUAGUCAGAGCAAUUUCCUUAUUGAAACAACUUGUUAGAAAUCGAGCACAUCAUAACAAUAAACCUGAACAUUUAGAUGCAUACAAACAACCAGAUGCUUUGAAACAAGCCCAACAAUUCAUAAUUCGUGAGGUUCAAAUGGAAAAUUAUAGAGACGAAAUAGACAGUAUCAAACAUGGAACAUCGUUACAUAACAACAGUUCUCUCUCGCAACUAUCGCCCAUACUUGAUGUUGAUGAUACCUUAAGAGUUGGUGGUCGCUUACGAAACUACAAAGAUUGUUCAGAUCUUUCAAAACAUCCUAUUAUCUUACCAAAACACCACCAUAUAUCAUUACUUAUUGUUCGACACUUCCAUGAAAAAGUGGCUCAUCAAGGCAGAAGCCUCACAGAUGGUGCUAUCCGUACAGCUGGUUUUUGGAUUUUAGGCAGUCGUCGUUUAGUUUCUUCAGUGCUGCAUAAAUGUGUGAUAUGUCGUAAGCUUCGUGGUUGUUUCGGUUGGCAGCAAAUGGCAGAUUUGCCUCAGGACAGAUUGAAACCAUCACCGCCAUUUACAUUCGUCGGUGUUGACACUUUUGGCCCAUGGCCAAUAGCUUAUAGACGCACUCGUGGAAUACAAGCUAAUCAGAAAAGAUGGGCACUUAUGUUUACAUGCCUUGUCAGUAGAGCAAUUCAUAUAGAGGUCAUAGAGGAGCUCAGCAGUGCUUCAUUUAUAAAUGCGUUGCGACGUUUCAUUGCCUUAAGGGGUGAAGUUAAACAGUUCCGUUCAGAUAGGGGAACGAAUUUUGUUGGCAGUUCAAAAGAGUUAAAUAUGAUCACUGAAUUUGUUGAAAAAGACUCUGUGAAAAGUUUUCUCUCAAAAAAUGACGUCUUGUGGCAAUUUAAUCCUCCACACGCUUCCCACAUGGGAGGAGUGUGGGAAAGGAUGAUUGGCGUUUCACGUAAGAUUCUCGAUUCAAUGUUAUUACGGGAAGGUUCGAAAAAUCUUACGCAUGAAGUUCUAACUACCUUGUUAUCGGAGGUAACAGCAAUAGUGAAUGCAAGACCCUUGGUUCCAGUGUCAACGGACCCAGAAUCCCCAUGCGUUCUUUGA